rnacentral:rRNA from 1 species
GAUGAACGCUGGCGGCGUGCCUAAUACAUGCAAGUCGAGCGGACCAAAGAGAGCUUGCUCUCUGAGGUUAGCGGCGGACGGGUGAGUAACACGUGGGUAACCUGCCUGUAAGACGGGGAUAACUUCGGGAAACCGAAGCUAAUACCGGAUGAUCAAGAGAAACUCAUGUUUCUUUUUUGAAAGUCGGCCUUGUACUGACGCUUACUGAUGGGCCCGCGGCGCAUUAGCUAGUUGGUGAGGUAACGGCUCACCAAGGCGACGAUGCGUAGCCGACCUGAGAGGGUGAUCGGCCACACUGGGACUGAGACACGGCCCAGACUCCUACGGGAGGCAGCAGUAGGAAAUCUUCGGCAAUGGACGAAAGUCUGACCGAGCAACGCCGCGUGAGCGAUGAAGGCCUUCGGGUCGUAAAGCUCUGUUGUCAGAGAAGAACAAGUACCGGAGUAACUGCCGGUACCUUGACGGUACCUGACCAGAAAGCCACGGCUAACUACGUGCCAGCAGCCGCAGUAACAC